GACGAACGCUGGCGGCGUGCUUAACACAUGCAGGUCGAACGGAAAGGCUCCAGCUUGCUGGAGUACUCGAGUGGCGAACGGGUGAGUAACACGUGGGUAAUCUGCCCUGCGCUCUGGGAUAAGCCUGGGAAACUGGGUCUAAUACUGGAUAUGACCUUUCUCCUUAUGGGGUUUGGUGGAAAGUUUCUCGGUGUAGGAUGAGCCCGCGGCCUAUCAGCUUGUUGGUGGGGUGAUGGCCUACCAAGGCGACGACGGGUAGCCGGCCUGAGAGGGUGAUCGGCCACAUUGGGACUGAGAUACGGCCCAGACUCCUACGGGAGGCAGCAGUGGGGAAUAUUGCACAAUGGGCGGAAGCCUGAUGCAGCGACGCCGCGUGAGGGAUGACGGCCUUCGGGUUGUAAACCUCUUUCAGCAGGGACGAAGCGUAAGUGACGGUACCUGCAGAAGAAGCACCGGCUAACUAUGUG
rnacentral:rRNA from 1 species